CAUGCAAGUCGAGCGGUAGCACAGAGAGCUUGCUCUCGGGUGACGAGCGGCGGACGGGUGAGUAAUGUCUGGGAAACUGCCUGAUGGAGGGGGAUAACUACUGGAAACGGUAGCUAAUACCGCAUAACGUCGCAAGACCAAAGUGGGGGACCUUCGGGCCUCAUGCCAUCAGAUGUGCCCAGAUGGGAUUAGCUAGUAGGUGGGGUAACGGCUCACCUAGGCGACGAUCCCUAGCUGGUCUGAGAGGAUGACCAGCCACACUGGAACUGAGACACGGUCCAGACUCCUACGGGAGGCAGCAGUGGGGAAUAUUGCACAAUGGGCGCAAGCCUGAUGCAGCCAUGCCGCGUGUGUGAAGAAGGCCUUCGGGUUGUAAAGCACUUUCAGCGGGGAGGAAGGCGGUGAGGUUAAUAACCUUGGCGAUUGACGUUACCCGCAGAAGAAGCACCGGCUAACUCCGUGCCAGCAGCCGCGGUAAUACGGAGGGUGCAAGCGUUAAUCGGAAUUACUGGGCGUAAAGCGCACGCAGGCGGUCUGUCAAGUCGGA
rnacentral:rRNA from 1 species